rnacentral:rRNA from 1 species
UACGGGGGGAGCAAACGUUGUUCGGAAUCACUGGGCGUAAAGGGCGUGUAGGCGGCUGAAUAAGUGGGAUGUUAAAUCCCCCGGCUCAACCGGGGACCUGCAUCUCAUACUGUUCAGCUCGAGCACAUCAGAGGAGACUGGAAUUCCCGGUGUAGCGGUGGAAUGCGUAGAGAUCCGGAGGAACACCAGCGGCGAAGGCGGCAUCCUGGACUGGUCCUGACACUCAGGAGCGAAAGCGUGGGGAGCGAUCCGG